UGGGGAAUAUUGCACAAUGGGCGCAAGCCUGAUGAAGCCAUGCCGCGUGUGUGAAGAAGGCCUUCGGGUUGUAAAGCACUUUCAGCGGGGAGGAAGGCGUUAAGGUUAAUAACCUUGGCGAUUGACGUUACCCGCAGAAGAAGCACCGGCUAACUCCGUGCCAGCAGCCGCGGUAAUACGGAGGGUGCAAGCGUUAAUCGGAAUUACUGGGCGUAAAGCGCACGCAGGCGGUCUGUCAAGUCGGAUGUGAAAUCCCCGGGCUCAACCUGGGAACUGCAUUCGAAACUGGCAGGCUAGAGUCUUGUAGAGGGGGGUAGAAUUCCAGGUGUAGCGGUGAAAUGCGUAGAGAUCUGGAGGAAUACCGGUGGCGAAGGCGGCCCCCUGGACAAAGACUGACGCUCAGGUGCGAAAGCGUGGGGAGCAAACAGG
rnacentral:rRNA from 1 species